GCAACCUUAAUCCUGCAGGGAGUGGGGCGAGUCUCCAAAACUCGUGGUAAUUAGUUCGACUCUAAGCCUGUGUGCCA
rnacentral:tRNA from 2 species